UCUCAAAAAAAAAAAAAAGUUUUGUGACUAAGCAAAUUAAAUAAUCAUUGUAUGGUUUUCCUCUUUUUCCUUUCCUUUUCUUUUUUUUUUUUUUUUUAAGAUUUAUUUAUUUAAUUUCUGUGAAUACACUGUCCCUGUCUUCAGACACACCAACCAGAAGAGAGCAUAGACUCCCUUUACAGAUGGUUGUGAGCCACCAUGUAGCUGCUGGGAAUUGAACUCAGGACCUCUGGAAGAGCAGUCAGUGCUCUUAACUGUUGAGCCAUCUCUCCAGCCCUGUUGGGUUUUGCUUUGUUUUGUUUUUUUGAUGCAGGGUUUCUCUGUGUAGCUGUCCUAGGCCUCCCUCUGUAGACCAGGAUGGCCUUGAACUGCCUGCCUCUGCCUCCUGAGUAUUGGGACUAAAGCCAUGCACUACUACUGUCUGCGUGCCUUCCCCCCCCCCCCCUUACCAUUUCCUGUGGAUAAAGACAAUGGUAAUGCAUAAAUAAACCCUCCGGGGUUUGUUUGGAUGGGGGAGGGGAGGUCUCACUGGAUAGCCCAGACUGGUCUCCAGCUGGAAAGCAUCCUCUCUUAAUCUCCUCAGUGUUGAUCAUAAGGCAUGUGCCACCAACUUGGAUAGGUUUUUAAUUUUAAGGAACUUUGAAGGCCAUUGUAAGAGUUGACAGUAGUUGUUUUCAAUUCACCUACCUACCGAGGUACAGGGCUGUGUCUUGCUGAGUUGUUUGAAGUCAGCCUGUAGUAGUGAAGAGAGUUUGGCUUCCUUAGGGAGCAUUCUGCGAAGCCCAACUGAUUGGUGAUACCUAGUUGAAUAUCUUUAGUUAGCAGAUUAUUUGUCAUUCUUGUCACAAAUCUAACAUUUGCCUUAGAAGUAGUUUUACAAUAUGGAGAAAGAGAACCAUUAUCCAGCCCCCAACCCUACUCCUUGCAAAUUAAUUUUUGAAUUUGCUUGGUCAUUUAGUCAAUAAGCAUAUAUGUUUAUUCUGAGACAGGUUUUCACUAUGUAGUCCUCGCUGGCCUAGAACUUAGUCUAUAUAGACCAGGCUAGCUUUAAAUUUAGGAGAGCCCCUGCCUCGGCCUUCAAAGUGGUGGGAUUAUAGGCAUGCUACAUUAUACCUGGCUUAAAGUUGUAUUUCUUUCAAAUUGCCUUUCUUACAUUUAAAUGUUUAGAAACAAUCCUUGUUACCAUACCAAGAGAGUUAACAAUAUGUACAGCAGAGCAAACUCAGUUUAAGAACAUAAAAAGUAAGGGUAAUGUCCACAGGCGUUGUUGGUCCAACUUCAGAGUGGGUAGUUAUUAAGAUGGCCUUCUCACCCAUGGUUUAUCUGACUUCCUCACCUUAGGAGCAGAAAAGAAAAAUUAGAUAGUCCAGCAAAGGGAAACUGUUCCUAACUAACAUUUCUGGUUGGAUCCCCAAAUUUCCUACUGAAGAUGAGUUUUUACUUCCCAGUCUCUGGGUUUUUUCCCCCGUGUAACCUGCUAUCAUUCCUACCCAGUUUUUUGUAGACAGGAGUCUAAACUUUCUUUGAGCAGAGCAUGAUAUUGGAACACAGUAAGAGCACCUUAUGUCUGUAAAUACUUGCUGAUGCUAGAAGCAGUCAGGGUACAGGAAAUCAGGUGGGACUCCGUUCACAGUUCAGCCUGCCUCUAGAUUUAUCUCCUGGCUUAGCCUUAAAGCUCAUCCUCCUAAGACGUUUUUCUAAUUUUGACCUGAACAGUAUACAGACAAAUCAUACAGACCGUGAUUCCACACACACAAGACACUAGGAGCCUUCUCAGCAGGACAGUUCUUCACUGAUGCAGUACACAAACUAGAGGAAAGCAGGAAACAGACUAAAUGAGCACUCUUAACUGCCCUUACACCAGAACUAGGAGUUUCAGACAGUAGGUAUCUGCUCACCAGGAGGAAGUAGGUCUAGGUGCUCUGCUCCUUACAGUGUAGUGCAGCAGAGAUGGGGCAGGGGGUAGAUAGGGCUUGGAACAUACUUAUUUCUAUGUAUCUUGAGGUAUGUAUAGGGCUUCCCAGGGAAAGAAGGGAUGGGACAUUCUAGGCAAAAAAAAAUUAUGCACAAGCCAGGCAUGUCUAAUCCCAGGCAGGAGAACCCAAUGUUAAAAGUCAUCUGCAGCUCCAUGAGGAGCUUAAAAACAAAAUUGCUUUGGAGUUUUCUAGAGAAUUGUGUUUUAGAAAAGGACUUUUUUCCUGGUUGGGGAGGUGGCUCAGGGUAAAACAAUUGUUAGGAAGUCUAGGCAUAGCAUUGUGCUCCAGUGACUCAAGUUGGGUAUAAGGGGAGCUGUUUGGGCAGCAAAGUCAAGUCAGUAAGCUACAGCUUCAAUGAAGAGACUGUGUGUCCGAAAAUAAGGUAAGAUGGGGCAGGAGAGAUGACUCAGUGCUUUUUAGAGCUGUGGUCUGUACCCUUCCUUCCCUCCCUUUUUCCCUUCUUACCUCUUCUUACUACCACCAUCCAAUAAUAAUAAUAAAUGUAUAUAUACUUAAGAUGCUUAUUACAUAUAUGUAUUUGUUAUGUCCAGGGGUGCUCCUGUGCCACCGUGUGCAUGGAGAUCAACAGACAACUUGUAAGAGUGGGUUCUCUCCUGUCAUGCGAAUCCUGAGAAUCAAACUGAUCAUCAGGCUGGCAGCAACAUGCUUUGACCAGCUGAGCCAUCGCAUGCAUUGGAUGUUUUAUUUAAAAAGAUAGAGGAAAGUGCCUGACAAAGUUGUACACUUGGAGGCACAUAUGCACACAUAUAAUACAUGCACACACGUGUGUUUGUGGCUCAGUGGUGGAGUGCUGCUUAGUAUUCAAGUGGUAGAUGUCCUGUACCAUGGAAAUGAGACCACCAAACAAGUAACUCCAUAGCGUAUAAUCUGAAAGACACAGCGCUACAGUUAAACUCACCUCAGGGCUUCCCGGGAAGGUAUCAUCUUCAUCAGAACAGUCCUUGAAGCUGGUAAAGGUGCACACAGUUCUCACUGAGCAGUAUUUCCUGUGAGUGUGGCAGCACCUUCAAGGGUUUCCAUCCCAAUCCCGAGCCUGCCAGACAUUCCCUCGUCCUGCAGUAGCAGGAAAUGGGACAAGGGAAAAGCUCCCAGGUAUUGCUGGUAGCACAGUUUUUCUACCUUUUACACAGUUCAUUAUUAGAAUAGGCUCUGGAUGGGACUUUACUGUCAUCUGCCCUACGUAAUGUACUCAGGAUCCCCUCUGAAGACUGUACUUUGUUUUGACACAGUCUCACUCUAGCCUAGGUGUGGGCCUAGUGUUUGUUAUGUUUGCCAGACUGGCUCAGAACUUGUGGCAAACCCUUCUGCCUCUUCACAUCAAAGUGCUUAGAUUUCAAGCAUGGGCCGCUAUUCCCGGCACAGGCUGUGAGUAUUUAUUGUGUAUGUGAAUGUGUAUGUGAUGAGGGGAUGUGGAGACAACUUUGUGGAAUUGAUUUUCUCCCAUAUCUAUAUAGAUUGUAGCCGUCUAACUUAGAUUGUCAGCCGUGAGGUAUACUGAGCCAUCUCACCAGCCCUUGUUUGUUUUUUAUGUGUACCUGUUUGUGCCUGGUGUCCAUGAAUUCAGAGGGAUAUAUUGAAUUUCCUGGAACUGGAGUUAUAGGUAGUUGUGAGCCUGCCAUAUGGGUGCUAGGACCCUAACCUGCCUCUUCUGGAAGAGUAGCUAAUGCUCGUAAGACAGCCUCCGAGCCAUCGCUCCAGCUCUUCUUGUUUGCUUUUUGAAGCAUCUGACUGGGAUUCAGGCUAGCCUUGAAAUCUCCAUUCUUUCGCCUCAGCCUCCUGAGAGAAAUUCAUUGAUGUUGAGAAAUCAGUUGAUUGAUGGGUAUAUGCUAAAGACUGUACUUUUAAAGAGGGAAAGGUCACUUGCCAUUCUUAGCCACUCUAAGCAUAGUAGGAAAGGUCAUGUAUUGCUGAAUUUUAGAAGCUUUAUAUAAAAUUACAUCUAUUUUUCCUGUGGUCUUAAAUGACUAGAGUAUAAAAUGGUUUCUUUUUCUCUUUGAUGCUGGCAUGGAACUGAUAACCUUGCUAGGCAGUUGCUCUACUGUUGUUCUCUAUUCCCAUGGUGACUUAAUUCUUAUAAGAUCUAAGUAGCAUUAUCUUUGUUUCUCACAUAAUAGGUAAAGUUCUCUCCUUGACAUUAAAUUUGGCAAAACUGCUUAGAAAAUUGCAUGUUUAACAUGAGGUAGGGUUUAGGGACCUGAGAGAUGGCUCAGCAGUUAAGAAAUCUCUCCCAUAGGUCUUGUAAUGGGAUCUGAUGCCCUCUGCUGGUAUGUCUGAAAACAGCAAUGUACUCACAUAU
rnacentral:lncRNA from 1 species